GCCCUUCCCGGCCUCGCCCGCACUCCCAGCGCCCACGGAGGCGGCCAGCCUUCUCCCCAGAGACCGUCUGGGAGUCGCUCAAGGCUUUCCAUGACUGGCGGGGAUGCGCCGCUGCCCCAAGCCCCGCCACGUUCUCCAUCCAGCAGCCGGCCUGGUGCUCCCUGAAUAGGGACCACCCAUGCCAGAUCAUCCCCCUCCCUUUGCCUGGCUUCAGUCCGACGCGAGGCCGCUGGGGGGCAAGCGCUGUGGUUGAGAAAAGCAAAGAAAAAAGAAAAAUCCACCAAGUUUAGGGGGUGAAGGAGCACUGUAUAUAUCUGGAUUUAAAAAAAGCAAUUCCUCCCACCCACAACCAUCGGAAACACACCCUCGUGUCCACUGCCCCUCGCCCGUAUCUCAUGAACCAGAAGGGCAAAUACGCCACAACUUUCUCUUUGUCCCACGUCUGUCCCCUGACGCCAUCUGCCCACGUCUCUACGUGACGCAGCUUCUCUCCGUCGAAAACCCCAGUCGGGCAGAUGCGUUGGCGAGUGACGCCUCUUCGGAACCGGGGUCAGGAGGAAGACGCCUCUGAGAGCGCUUCAAAAACCCAGCGGGUGAGCGGGACCCGCUGUGCCCAACCGGCCGCGCCCCCGUCCCGACCACGUGCGCGCGCGCGGGGCUCGCUCUCAAUGACCCUCUGAGCAGGUUAUUGUCACCACGCCCUCCUCCCCACUCAUUUUUACAGACCAGCCCUGAGCUAACAUCUGUGCCAGUCUUCCUCUCUUUUGUAUGUGGGAUGCCUCCACAGCAUGGCUAGUGAGUGGAGGAUGACUGCACCAGGAUCCCAACCUGCAAACCAAGGCUGCCGAAGCGGAGCACAGGGAACCUCAACCACUUGGCCACAGGGCCAGGCCCUGUUUAACUUUUGAUGAAUGAAUCUUACAUCGAUGUGUCAUUAGGAGAGGAAGACAACAUGCUCCAGGAUCAGCACUUCCUUGGUUAUUCUCCAGGAUCAGCUGCAGUUUUGACAGCCAGUUGGUGUGGCUUUGCUUGGGGUGGGGGUCGGGGGCUUUUGGUCGGCUCCACGUGUCUGGGACAAAUGGCUCCCAGAAAAUACUCGUCUUCAGAUUUGUAGCAGAAGCCCAGGAACCCAAACCAAUCCAUGCAAACACAUUUAAAAGCCUUCUCAGGCACCACAUCGCUACCGCUUCACUGGCCAAAGUCGCACGGCCAAGCCCAGCUUUAACGGAGAGGAGACGUAAUACUCGCCGGCUCUACCGGGAGGCACUGCAAAGUCAUAGGACAGAAGGUGCGAUGGAUCAUGGUUUUAGAGGCAAAGAGUAAGGAACUGGGCACAAGUAUGUUCCCCACCAUCCACAAUGAGGUUUGUUCCCUCUUUGUGAGGGGCUGGGGUUAUUUUACAUAGUUACUUUACUUUUUCUACGUCACAUUUACCUUGUAUCAAAGACUUGAUGAUCUUGAUGCAAAUGUGUUUGCCCUGUGGGAUGUUUGUAGUUAGAGGACCCUCCAGCCGCAGUGCCCGGCAGCCAAGCAGCCUGCCUGCCGGGAACGCCUCUGGGGAAGCUGGGCUGGCUCUCAUGGAAAGUUUCAGGCUUCUUUAAUCCAGGCCUCUUAAGGAAUGGGAAUCGAUAAAUGGCGUAAAUCAUUCCCCUCAAGGAAUAUUCUCGGAAGUGAACAACAGGCUGGAGAAAUCGCCAGCAGAGUAUUCUUACUUUUCAGCGUUUGGACCUCUGCUCACCUUCUGAAUGGCUGGGCAUUUCUAAACUGCUAAAAAUGCAGGCCUCGGGGAGGGAAGAAUGAGACUAAGUUGUGUGGAGAUUUCCAUGUGACCCUGAGUUAUCUUUUCAGCCUCUUCUCGAGGGUCCAGCGAAUGAUGGUGUGGGGUGGGCUUGCUCCCGUGAGGUGCACCAGGCUGUCCCUGUGGGGUGACCUCAGUGCUGUCAGCCGAGAUCUCAGAAGUUCAUUCCACCAUUUUGAGGGCUUUGCCUUUCAGAAUGCAAAAACUUGGAAGAGAAGGGGAGGUAAACGAAC
ensembl:lncRNA